rnacentral:rRNA from 1 species
CCUACGGGUGGCAGCAGUAGGGAAUCUUUCACAAUGGGCGAAAGCCUGAUGGAGCAACGCCGCGUGCAGGAUGAAGGCCUUCGGGUUGUAAACUGCUUUUAUAAGCGAGAAAUAUGAUGGUAACUUAUGAAUAAGGAUUGGCUAACUACGUGCCAGCAGCCGCGGUCAUACGUAGGAUCCGAGCAUUAUCCGGAGUGACUGGGUGUAAAGAGUUGCGUAGGUGGCAUAAUAAGUAGCUAGUGAAAUCUGGUGGCUCAACCAUUCAGACUAUUAGCUAAACUGUUAAGCUCGAGACCGUUAGAGGUAACUGGAAUUUCUAGUGUAGGAGUGAAAUCCGUAGAUAUUAGAAGGAACACCAAUAGCGUAGGCAGGUUGCUGGGACGGUUCUGACACUAAGGCACGAAAGCGUAGGGAGCAAACAGGAUUAGAUACCCGAGUAGUC